AACGAACGCUGGCGGCAUGCCUAACACAUGCAAGUCGAAUGAGACCUUCGGGUCUAGUGGCGCACGGGUGCGUAACGCGUGGGAACCUGCCUUUAGGUUCGGAAUAACUCAGAGAAAUUUGAGCUAAUACCGGAUGAUGUCUUCGGACCAAAGAUUUAUCGCCUUUAGAUGGGCCCGCGUUGGAUUAGCUAGUUGGUGGGGUAAAGGCCUACCAAGGCGACGAUCCAUAGCUGGUCUGAGAGGAUGAUCAGCCACACUGGGACUGAGACACGGCCCAGACUCCUACGGGAGGCAGCAGUGGGGAAUAUUGGACAAUGGGCGAAAGCCUGAUCCAGCAAUGCCGCGUGAGUGAUGAAGGCCUUAGGGUUGUAAAGCUCUUUUACCCGAGAUGAUAAUGACAGUAUCGGGAGAAUAAGCUCCGGCUAACUCCGUG
rnacentral:rRNA from 1 species